rnacentral:rRNA from 1 species
UUGACGGGGCCCGCACAAGCGUGGAGCAUGUGGUUUAAUUCGAUGCAACGCGAAGAACCUUACCUGGGCUUGACAUCCCGAGAAUCCCCUGGAAACAGGGGAGUGCCUUUCGGGGAACUCGGAGACAGGUGCUGCAUGGCUGUCGUCAGCUCGUGUCGUGAGAUGUUGGGUUAAGUCCCGCAACGAGCGCAACCCUUGUCUUUAAUUGCCAGCAUUCAGUUGGGCACUCUAAUGAGACUGCCGGUGACAAGCCGGAGGAAGGUGGGGAUGACGUCAAGUCCUCAUGGCCCUUAUAGGUGGGGCUACACACGUCAUACAAUGGCUGGUACAAAGGGUUGCCAACCCGCGAGGGGGAGCCAAUCCCAUAAAGCCAGUCGUAGUCCGGAUCGUAGUCUGCAACUCGACUACGUGAAGUCGGAACCGCUAGUAAUCGUGGAUCAGAAUGUCACGGUGAAUACGUUCCCGGGUCUU